GUGAAUCAUCGAAUCUUUGAACGCACAUUGCGCCCGGGAGCAUUCUCCCGGGCAUGCCUGUUCGAGCGUCAUUUCAACCCUCGACCUCCCCCCGGGGAGGUCGGCCGUUGGAGAUCGGCAGCGGCUGCCGGCUCCCAAAUCCAGUGGCGACGCGCCGCGGGGACCCCUGCGCAGUAACUAACACUCGCACCGGAAACCAGACGUGUCACGCCGUGAAACCCCCGACUUUCUGAACGUUGACCUCGGAUCAGGUAGGAAUACCCGCUGAACUUAAGCAUAUCAAUAAGCGGAGGA
rnacentral:misc_RNA from 1 species